UACAGAGACUGCAAGCGUUAUUCGGAUUCACUGGGCGUAAAGGGUGCGCAGGCGGUCGGGUGUGUCAGAUGUGAAAUCCCGAGGCUCAACCUCGGAACUGCGUCUGAAACUACUCGACUAGAGUACUGGAGAGGGUAACGGAAUUCACGGUGUAGCAGUGAAAUUCGUAGAUAUUCGCAAGAACACCAGUGGCGAAGGCGGCUCACUGGCCCGAUACUGACGCUGAGGCACGAAAGCGUGGGGAGCAAACAGG
rnacentral:rRNA from 1 species